rnacentral:lncRNA from 1 species
AACUGCCGAUUUCCAGACAACACAGAUGGGAGUUGCUCCGAAGAACCUUUCUAAACAGAAGUGUUUCGUAUGCAGUCCCUCUAACCAAGGAUUGUGAGAAUCAUCACAGUGGGACUGCAGUGUACGCCCUUGGCCCACUUCACAGGCUUUGUUUAUUUGGGAAUACCAUUUCCUUUCUCUGAUCUGCUCUUUGGUUAAUUUCUUUAUGGAGCUGGGCUUCUGUUCCUGGAUGAUUUCCAGGUAACCUGAGAAUUCAGAGCUGCAGUAGUGCCAUUUGUCUCGAGCCUGGCCAGAUGUUGACACUUCCAGACCUCUAGUCAUCAGUGAAUAAAGUUCCAGGCCUCUAAGUUCAAACAUCUUUUCCCACAUGCCAAGCCUCUGGGGAUGGUGGCUCCUGAUCCUGUGGUGUAAAUGGUAGCCAUAGGUAUGAUAAGAGGGGAGUUUUUCUUAGACAGCAGGCAGGGUUAGAAAUGAGGCAAUGAUUGACAUACAAUGAAAUUACAAAGGCUUGGUAAAGCUAUGAAA